UCCGUAAAAUAAACGUGCAGUAUGAGAACCUGCUGCAGGUUCGGGUCUCACGCAGUGGGACAACGUUGGUAACAACGGCCCACAGGGCGAGCGUUAGUGAGUCAUCCUGCACGAUCCAGCU
rnacentral:sRNA from 1 species